GGGAUUCUUUGGGUGAUUAGUUCUAGGUCAGCUUGGAUGCCUGGCUUCACUGUGUGUGGGUUCAAACAACAGGCAGCAACAUCAUUAGCCAGCCCUUCAAAGAAAAGGCACACAAUGCCUCAUCCAAUUGCUAAGGGUGGAGAGCAAGCUCCCAUUCUUACAAAGAGAAACCUUGAGAAACUCUUGACUCCCAUCACACGCUGGAGGCAGGACCUCUGUUUAAGGGGCCAUGGAGAUCUUCUUGGCCCAUCUGCAAUGAACUGGCAGGAAGGUGCCGGGGAGGUCUUGGCUGCAGGCAACAUUGCCCGCAUUGGUUAACUGUGUUAAAAAAGGACCUCAUGACCUCAGACGAUUAAUCAAGGUAAAUAUCACCAAAGGUGGUGAUUAGGUGGACGUCUCUCCAGACUUAAGGGGAAAACCUACACGCAACGGGCGGAUUUGAAAGGAAAUGGUGGACCAGAUGCGUGCUGGAGCAAAAGAGCCCCAGGCACCAGAAGAAGCAGAGCUUUCUGAAAUCUGCUGGGUAUGAUUUCAUUGCACUUUAGCACAACCUCACUCAUUGGUACAGGUAUCUUCACCUGGUACAAUUGCAUCUACAACUAAAUCUUUACCUGGUCGGAUUGCAUCUACAAUCAAAGUGCAAUGUACAGCACCAUAUGUAUAAUUAACCAUUUUCCAUCAAUAGGAAUUAAAGUGGAACUUUGGCCUCAUGAA